AUGGGAGAUUUCAACGAGAUCUUAAGCAAUGAUGAGAAGCGGGGAGGAGUUGAUAGAGCGGAGGGAUGCAUGACCAUGUUUCAGGAGGCGUUGGAAGGCUGUAGGCUGCGCGAUCUAGGUUUUGAAGGAGAUAUUUUCACAUGGUGGAAGGGGUAUAUCUGUGGCCGGUUGGACAGGGCAGCUGCCAACAUGGAAUGGUGCACGGCCUUCCCGGAGUUCCGUGUGUGAAAUGAGGUGCCGAGGCACUCGGACCAUAGGCCCAUUGUC
rnacentral:rRNA from 1 species